CAGUCGCCGCGGUAAUACGUAGGUGGCGAGCGUUGUCCGGAAUCAUUGGGCGUAAAGGGAGCGCAGGCGGGCAUGUAAGUCUUUCUUAAAAGUGCGGGGCUCAACCCCGUGAUGGGAAAGAAACUACAUGUCUUGAGUACAGGAGAGGAAAGCGGAAUUCCCAGUGUAGCGGUGAAAUGCGUAGAUAUUGGGAGGAACACCAGUGGCGAAGGCGGCUUUCUGGACUGCAACUGACGCUGAGGCUCGAAAGCCAGGGGAGCGAACGGGAUUAGAUACCCGUGUAGUCCCUGUCUCUUAUACA
rnacentral:rRNA from 1 species